rnacentral:misc_RNA from 1 species
UCCGGGGCAGCUAGUGGAAAUUCAACAUUGUAUAUAAUAUCCCAUUUAAGAUAGUCCAGGCAGUAGGGGAUAAGCAACGUGAAACGAUCAAGACUUCCAGGGAAAUACUUGCUACCUGACCACACCUGCUCAACCUUGAUGAGCUGAGGAUAGUGGGCGAGGAGGUACUGAAGUUGAGAGGAGAUGAAAGGAGGAAAUCCGUCAAACGA